GACGAACGCUGGCGGCGUGCUUAACACAUGCAAGUCGAACGGAAAGGCCCUGCUUUUGUGGGGUGCUCGAGUGGCGAACGGGUGAGUAACACGUGAGUAACCUGCCCUUGACUUUGGGAUAACUUCAGGAAACUGGGGCUAAUACCGGAUAGGAGCUCCUGCUGCAUGGUGGGGGUUGGAAAGUUUCGGCGGUUGGGGAUGGACUCGCGGCUUAUCAGCUUGUUGGUGGGGUAGUGGCUUACCAAGGCUUUGACGGGUAGCCGGCCUGAGAGGGUGACCGGCCACAUUGGGACUGAGAUACGGCCCAGACUCCUACGGGAGGCAGCAGUGGGGAAUAUUGCACAAUGGGCGGAAGCCUGAUGCAGCAACGCCGCGUGCGGGAUGACGGCCUUCGGGUUGUAAACCGCUUUCGCCUGUGACGAAGCGUGAGUGACGGUAAUGGGUAAAGAAGCACCGGCUAACUACGUGCCAGCAGCCGCGGUGAUACGUAGGGUGCGAGCGUUGUCCGGAUUUAUUGGGCGUAAAGGGCUCGUAGGUGGUUGAUCGCGUCGGAAGUGUAAUCUUGGGGCUUAACCCUGAGCGUGCUUUCGAUACGGGUUGACUUGAGGAAGGUAGGGGAGAAUGGAAUUCCUGGUGGAGCGGUGGAAUGCGCAGAUAUCAGGAGGAACACCAGUGGCGAAGGCGGUUCUCUGGGCCUUUCCUGACGCUGAGGAGCGAAAGCGUGGGGAGCGAACAGGCUUAGAUACCCUGGUAGUCCACGCUGUAAACGGUGGGUACUAGGUGUGGGGUCCAUUCCACGGGUUCCGUGCCGUAGCUAACGCUUUAAGUACCCCGCCUGGGGAGUACGGCCGCAAGGCUAAAACUCAAAGGAAUUGACGGGGCCCCGCACAAGCGGCGGAGCAUGCGGAUUAAUUCGAUGCAACGCGUAGAACCUUACCUGGGUUUGACAUGGAUCGGGAGUGCUCAGAGAUGGGUGUGCCUCUUUUGGGGUCGGUUCACAGGUGGUGCAUGGCUGUCGUCAGCUCGUGUCGUGAGAUGUUGGGUUAAGUCCCGCAACGAGCGCAACCCUUGUUCACUGUUGCCAGCACGUUAUGGUGGGGACUCAGUGGAGACCGCCGGGGUCAACUCGGAGGAAGGUGGGGAUGACGUCAAGUCAUCAUGCCCCUUAUGUCCAGGGCUUCACGCGUGCUACAAUGGCUGGUACAGAGAGUGGCGAGCCUGUGAGGGUGAGCGAAUCUCGGAAAGUCGGUCUCAGUUCGGAUUGGGGUCUGCAACUCGACCUCAUGAAGUCGGAGUCGCUAGUAAUCGCAGAUCAGCAACGCUGCGGUGAAUACGUUCCCGGGGCU
rnacentral:rRNA from 1 species